rnacentral:lncRNA from 1 species
UGGCCGGCUUUGGGAGGCUAACUUCUUGCACAUUUGAUUACUUGAGGCAUACUUUGAGCUAGAGAACACUUUCUCCACUCAUCUCCUUGCUUGAUUGCUAAUUCUAGUGAGAUUGAGUGAGAUUCAAGUGCAUUGCUUUGAGAGUUGCAUUUAGUGGCACUUGAUUCUUGAGUUUGCUGCGGAUUUCUUGUUAUUCUUGGGUGUUUCCCGACGCCCUAGACGGCUUGGAGCAGCGGUGGUGUUGAGCUCAUGAUUGGAGAUUGUUUCG